ensembl:snoRNA SNORA70 Small nucleolar RNA SNORA70
CUUCAGCUGUCCCUUUGGUGGAACAGACUGUAGCCUCCUGGGUAGUGUCUGCAGCUUGCUGCUUGAGUGGGUUGUCCUAAGGAACCCAGUAGACAGCC